CUAGUCAAAGCAUCAAAAUCCUUGACCUCAUGACCUUGACUCAUUCAUAUCAUUUAUAGCCCUUAGUUGUUCAUAACAUUUAGUGCAUUAAGCUCACGACCUGGAGUCGAUCAUGUCAUCCACACCCUUGAGUUGUUUAUAGAAUCUAGAGACUUAAGUUUAGGAUCGAGAGUCAUUCAUGUCAUCCAUAGCCUUAAGUUGUUCAUAACAUAUACAACACUAAGCUCACAAC
rnacentral:lncRNA from 1 species